CAGUAGCCACGGGAAUACGUAGGUGGCAAGCGUUGUCCGGAAUUAUUGGGCGUAAAGGGCUCGCAGGCGGUUUCUUAAGUCUGAUGUGAAAGCCCCCGGCUCAACCGGGGAGGGUCAUUGGAAACUGGGAAACUUGAGUGCAGAAGAGGAGAGUGGAAUUCCACGUGUAGCGGUGAAAUGUGUAGAGAUGUGGAGGAACACCAGUGGCGAAGGCGACUCUCUGGUCUGUAACUGACGCUGAGGAGCGAAAGCGUGGGGAGCGAACAGGAUUAGAUACCCGUGUAGUCCCUGUCUCUUAUAC
rnacentral:rRNA from 1 species